rnacentral:rRNA from 1 species
ACUACGGGUGGCAGCAGUGGGGAAUAUUGCACAAUGGGGGAAACCCUGAUGCAGCGACGCCGCGUGAGUGAAGAAGUAAUUCGUUACGUAAAGCUCUAUCAGCAGGGAAGAAAAUGACGGUACCUGAGUAAGAAGCCCCGGCUAACUACGUGCCAGCAGCCGCGGUACCACGGAGGGGGCCAGCGUUAUCCGGAUUUACUGGGGGUAAAGGGUGGGUAGACGGGGCGGCAAGUCUGGAGGGAAAUGCCGGAGGUUAACUGCGGAACUGCUUUGGAAACUGGCGAACUAGAGUGCGGGAGGGGUAAGCGGAAUGCCUGGUGUAGCGGUGAAAUGCGUAGAUAUUAGGAGGAACCCCGGUGGCGAAGGCGGCUUACUGGACCGUAACUGACGUUGAGGCUCGAAAGCGUGGGGAGCGAACAGGAUUAGAUACCCCGGUAGUC